GGGGCCGCCGUCUGAGGAGGGGGGCCAAACCACCCCCAGAAAUUUUCUUGGAAAAAAUUGAAGAGGGACGUUUUUUUCCCCCUCUCUCCUUCCUCCCAGGAGAACAAGAAAGGGGGAUUAAAAAAUAUAUAUAUAUAUAUAAAAGUUUUCGACUUCUCUCUACCCCCCUCUCUGUUGCUUUAAAUAUAUUUAAAUUCUGAGGGGGGCGCUCAGAAAUAUUUCUCAGAGCUGAGGCACUAAGAUGGCCGCCUUGAAAUUAUUUUUAAAACAACCCCCCCUCCAGCACCGCCACCCCCUCCAUGAAGAAAGGGAGAGGGGGAAAAAAUCCCCUUUUAAAACAAAAUGGCUGGCUUAAUAUUUUCAUUUUUCACCCCCCCAUUCUCCUCCCUGUUACACCCCCAUCUCAAAGCCUCUACCCAGAAACCCACAAAUUUCUCCCUUUUUUCAUAACUGAUUAGUGCACAGAUUAAUAGAGAUAUUUUCCUUGUGUACUGAGUGAGUGUGUGUGUGUGUGUGUGUGUGUGUCUAUGCGCGUUGGGGGGGGCAUGAAGGAUUUCUGCAUAAAACAAAAAUGGCUGCUGUGACUAACUCCCCCCUUAUAAAAAAAUAUUUGAGGGGGGGCAUUAAUCAGUACUCAUGCUCAGUCUGACAUCAGCAUAAAUUGUUAAAGGUUAACUAGUUAGAUACUAGUCCAACUAGAUUCAAAUUUUUUUCUUUUCUUUACUAGUCUCUUCCUCCCCACCUCCUUUCUCUUAAAGAAAAGCUUUUUUUUUUUUUUCUGAAUACUUCAGAAGGGAGUGGUUUGAUGUGAAGGUUUUUUUUCCCCUUCAGGCAUUGAAAAGGAAAAAGAUGAAAUAUAUGUUUAUGUAUAACUCUGUUUCUACAUACCUCGUUGAAGUCAAAACGCGUUUAAUUGUUAUAUUUCCCUUCCUUCAUGAUCUCCAACACUGAUAAAGUGGAAGAAGCUGAGGUACCAUGAAAGAGAAAAGUAACCAGGACUGAGAAAAAGAAAGAGGUCUCAGCCUGAGAUGAUGCUUCUCCAGAAAGACUUCCCUGAUCUCCCCAGACUGGGUUUAGAUGUACUUGAGGUGGUCUAGUUCCUUCCCCUUGGAUUUGAAGCGAGGUUAUAAAAGGUGAUUCCACUUCCUCCUGGUUCUCUUGGGAUUCUUGCUCUUGGAACCCAGCCACCAUGUAUGAGGAGGCCCAAGCUGCCCUGUGUAGAGACCCACAUGGAGAAGAACCAAUAGCCAGCAUCAACUUGCCAGCCAUGUGGGUGAGCCAUUUUGAAAAUGAGUCCUCCAGCUUCCUGCAGACCACCCAGUUGACACCUGUUGGAGUGGCAAUGAGCUAUCCCUGCUGAACCCUGCCCAAAUUAGAGAUUCAUUAGCAAAAUAAAUGGUGAUUGUUGUUUUAAGCCA